rnacentral:rRNA from 1 species
UACGACCUCAACUCAAGCAAGAUUACCCGCUGAACU